UGGUGCCAGCAGCCGCGGUAAUUCCAGCUCCAAUAGCGUAUAUUAAAGUUGUUGCAGUUAAAAAGCUCGUAGUUGAAUUUCGGGAUUAGUACGUUGGUCGUGCCUUAGGUACGUACUGGUGUUACUGGUUCCUACCUUCUGACGAACCAUCAUGUCAUUAAUUUGGUGUGGCGGGGAAUCAGGACUGUUACUUUGAAAAAAUUAGAGUGUUUAAAGCAGGCUCGCGCUUGAAUGCAUUAGCAUGGAAUAAUGAAAUAGGACGUUGAUCCUAUUUUGUUGGUUUCUAGGAUUGACGUAAUGAUUAAUAGGGAUAGUUGGGGGCAUUAGUAUUCAAUUGUCAGAGGUGAAAUUCUUGGAUUUAUUGAAGACUAACUACUGCGAAAGCAUUUGCCAAGGAUGUUUUCAUUAAUCAAGAACGAAAGUUAGGGGAUCGAAGACGAUCAGAUACCGUCGUAGUCUUAACCAUAAACUAUGCCGACUAGGGA
rnacentral:rRNA from 1 species